rnacentral:rRNA from 1 species
UGGGGAAUCUUAGACAAUGGGCGCAAGCCUGAUCUAGCCAUGCCGCGUGAGUGAUGAAGGCCUUAGGGUUGUAAAGCUCUUUCAGCUGGGAAGAUAAUGACUGUACCAGCAGAAGAAGCCCCGGCUAACUCCGUGCCAGCAGCCGCGGUAAUACGGAGGGGGCUAGCGUUGUUCGGAAUUACUGGGCGUAAAGCGCACGUAGGCGGACUGGAAAGUCAGGGGUGAAAUCCCGGGGCUCAACCCCGGAACUGCCUUUGAAACUCCCAGUCUUGAGGUCGAGAGAGGUGAGUGGAAUUCCGAGUGUAGAGGUGAAAUUCGUAGAUAUUCGGAGGAACACCAGUGGCGAAGGCGGCUCACUGGCUCGAUACUGACGCUGAGGCACGAAGGCCAGGGGAGCGAAAGGG